CCCCGCGCGCCGCAGCCAAAACAUGCAAGUCGAGCGGCAGCGAAAGAAAGCUUGCUUUCUUGUCGGCGAGCGGCAAACGGGUGAGUAAUAUCUAGGGAAUCUACCCAAAAGAGGGGGAUAACUACUAGAAAUGGUAGCUAAUACCGCAUAAAGUUGAAAAACCAAAGUGGGGGACCUUAAAAGGCCUCAUGCUUUUGGAUGAGCCCAGAAGAGAUUAGCUUGUUGGUAAGGUAAAAGCUUACCAAGGCCACGAUCUCUAGCUGGUCUGAGAGGAUAACCAGCCACACUGGAACUGAGACACGGUCCAGACUCCUACGGGAGGCAGCAGUGGGGAAUAUUGCACAAUGGGCGAAAGCCUGAUGCAGCUAUGCCGCGUGUAUGAAGAAGGCCUUAGGGUUGUAAAGUACUUUCAGCGGGGAGGAAAAAAAUAAAACUAAUAAUUUUAUUUCCUGACGUUACCCGAAGAAGAAGCACCGGCUAACUCCGUGCCAGCAGCCGCGGUAAUACGGAGGGUGCUAGCGUUAAUCAGAAUUACUGGGCGUAAAGAGCACGUAGGUGGUUUUUUAAGUCAGAUGUGAAAUCCCUGGGCUUAACCUAGGAACUGCAUUUGAAACUGAAAUACUAGAGUAUCGUAGAGGGAGGUAGAAUUCUAGGUGUAGCGGUGAAAUGCGUAGAUAUCUGGAGGAAUACCUGUGGCGAAAGCGGCCUCCUAAACGAAUACUGACACUGAGGUGCGAAAGCGUGGGGAGCAAACAGGAUUAGAUACCCUGGUAGUCCAUGCCGUAAACGAUGUCGACUUGGAGGUUGUUUCCAAGAGAAGUGACUUCCGAAGCUAACGCAUUAAGUCGACCGCCUGGGGAGUACGGCCGCAAGGCUAAAACUCAAAUGAAUUGACGGGGGCCCGCACAAGCGGUGGAGCAUGUGGUUUAAUUCGAUGCAACGCGAAAAACCUUACCUGGUCUUGACAUCCAUAGAAUUUCUUAGAAAUAAGAAAGUGCCUUAGGGAACUAUGAGACAGGUGCUGCAUGGCUGUCGUCAGCUCGUGUUGUGAAAUGUUGGGUUAAGUCCCGCAACGAGCGCAACCCUUAUCCCCUGUUGCCAUCGGUUCGGCCGGGAACUCAGAGGAGACUGCCGGUUAUAAACCGGGAGGAAGGUGGGGACGACGUCAAGUCAUCAUGGCCCUUACGACCAGGGCUACCACCC
rnacentral:rRNA from 1 species